rnacentral:piRNA from 1 species
UUACUCACGGUGUUUGCAAAGC